AACAUGUGGUUUUGUCUUUGAUACAUGGGAUACAACAUGUGGUUUUGUCUUUGAUACAUGGGGUACAACAUGUGGUUUUGUCUUUGAUACAGAGUUCCUAUUAUGUUGGUGGGAAAUAAGAACGACCUGCACAUGGAAAGGGUGAUCAGCUGUGAGGAAGGGAAGUCACUAGCAGAAUCAUGGAACGCUGCCUUCAUGGAAUCCUCAGCUAAAGAGAACCAGACGGCGGUGGAGGUGUUCAAGCGGAUGAUCCUGGAGGCGGAGAAGCUGGAAGGCGGCGUCCAACCAGGGAAGAAUUCCUGCUCCUUGAUGUAGAGCUGCUGAUCAAUCAGAACAGAGAACCGAACACUACACUGGGAUAUCCAGUUACUUGAAGGCUUCCUGCCAGUACACUACUACUCUUCCAACUCUUCCAACUGUCUUUCAACUGUCUUUCAACUGUCUUUCAACUGUCUUCAACAGUCUUCCAACUGUCUUCCAACUGUUUUCCAACUGUCAACUCACCAACAGUUUAUUUUUCAGUAUUUCUGUUUGUCAUGAAAGGGUGAGUGGCUGUCAUACUGUACAUUUCCCACAAUCCACUUCUCGUCUCUUCUGUGCUCAGCCCUGAUGCGAAACUGAGAGCCACGUCCAGAAAUAACCCCUAGACCCUACACCCUUACCCCCCCCCCAGUCACUUCUCUUAGCCCCUAGCAUCCAGGGGGUGGGGUUUAGGGUCUGUUUCUGUAACCUUGUUUGACCAUCCUGAUCUUGCAAAAGUACAGCGGUCAGGAUGGUAGAUCAGACUACUGUUUCUCAUAAAGACGUAUCAGAAACUAUGUCUGGCUUCUCACAUGGGGCUGCACAGGUGUCCAUUCUGGCUUGAUGGUGGACGGGUGACUAUGGAAGAUCAGAGAUGUUCAACCUCCUCAUAUUAGAGAUGCUAUGAAGACCGAACAUUCCCUUCUAUUGAAUUGUGUUUUUUUUUUUUUUUUAUUUAAACAAUGAUUGUUUUAUGUUCUUUUCUCUUUUCCAUGGCAUUAGUCCACUGUGUCACCAGGGUGGAGCUAGCAUGCCAUGGUGGUUUUUACGCAUACUAAGCUGUUCAUUUUAGUGUAUUGUUUCAAAGGAAACAAACACUCAUUAGGAUCAGGUGUGGUUAAUUAGUGGGCGUGGCCAACACACCUGACCACGCUUAACAAGAUACAGGUGAGAGAGUUGUGUUGAUGCAGAGAACGGAAUGUAUGUUUUUAAAGAACUUUAGUAACGUUGAGAGAAUGUUUUCUGUGGUUUUUAUGGAACUUUUGGAACAAUUUGAAAACAUGACUUUAAAUCAAAUCCACGAGGAAACCUGUCGGAAACGUUAUGCUGUAGUACUGAAAUUCCCACAGAAGAACGUUGUUUCUUAACGUUCACUGAACUACUUUAAAAUGUCAAACCAGUUGUAGAACGUUUCUAGAUCAUUACCAAAAUUGAAAUGAAAUUUAACCAUGUUUGACAUUUUAGGAAACGUUCUGUUAAAGUAAUGAAAUACCAAGAAAAUGUCAUUUUCGAAAGUUAGAUAAUUGUGCUGAGAAUGUUCCAAAGCCAAUCAAACUACCCUGCACCGUUCCCAGAACGUUGUGAGAAGGUUGAAUGCAAAAUAACCAUAGGACAACCGCACUCUCACCAAGCACUAAGAAACGUCCUCAGAACGUCGUGUGCUAGCUGGGCUCUGUCAUUGUUGUCAUUGUCAAUCCGUACAUCACUAAAACUUUUAUAGGAAAUCUUCCAGUAAACUUCAGGGAGAAUCCUAACUUCCUUAAGUCAAAUAUUCAUCUCGUCUCCCAUUGACAUCAAUGCAUGAAUAAGUGAACAUUCAAUUUAUGUGUAAGUUAAGAUUUGUUCUUUGGUCAUUUCUGAUGCAUUAGUAGCUGUUCAUCUGUCCCUCUUAUCCCUCUAGCUCUUUCUAUAUCUACUGCAUUUUCCCACAUCGUUGUCAGUCAGAUGUCCCCCCCCCCAUAGCUGUUCAUCUGUCCCUCUUAUCCCUCUAGCUCUUUCUAUAUCUACUGCAUUUUCCCACAUCGUUGUCAGUCAGAUGUCCCCCCCCCCAUAGCUGUUCAUCUGUCCCUCUUAUCCCUCUAGCUCUUUCUAUAUCUACUGCAUUUUCCCACAUCGUUGUCAGUCAGAUGUCCCCCCCCCAUAGCUGUUCAUCUGUCCCUCUUAUCCCUCUAGCUCUUUCUAUAUCUACUGCAUUUUCCCACAUCGUUGUCAGUCAGAUGUCCCCCCCCCCAUAGCUGUUCAUCUGUCCCUCUUAUCCCUCUAGCUCUUUCUAUAUCUACUGCAUUUUCCCACAUCGUUGUCAGUCAGAUGUCCCCCCCCCCAUAGCUGUUCAUCUGUCCCUCUUAUCCCUCUAGCUCUUUCUAUAUCUACUGCAUUUUCCCACAUCGUUGUCAGUCAGAUGUCCCCCCAUAGCUGUUCAUCUGUCCCUCUUAUCCCUCUAGCUCUUUCUAUAUCUACUGCAUUUUCCCACAUCGUUGUCAGUCAGAUGUCCCCCCCCC